UGGGGAAUAUUGGACAAUGGGCGCAAGCCUGAUCCAGCCAUGCCGCGUGAGUGUUGAAGGCCUUAGGGUUGUAAAGCUCUUUCGUUGGGGAAGAUAAUGACGGUACCCAAAGAAGAAGUCCCGGCUAACUUCGUGCCAGCAGCCGCGGUAAUACGAAGGGGGCUAGCGUUGUUCGGAAUUACUGGGCGUAAAGCGCGCGUAGGCGGACCAUCAAGUCAGGGGUGAAAGCCUGGAGCUUAACUCCAGAACUGCCUUUGAUACUGUUGGUCUUGAGGUCGGGAGAGGUGAGUGGAACUGCGAGUGUAGAGGUGAAAUUCGUAGAUAUUCGCAAGAACACCAGUGGCGAAGGCGGCUCACUGGCCCGAAUCUGACGCUGAGGCGCGAAAGCGUGGGGAGCAAAC
rnacentral:rRNA from 1 species